rnacentral:lncRNA from 1 species
UAUGAUAAAGAACAUGAUCAAAUGAUUAAAAAAAGAUGCAAGUGGUUGGUUUUCAUGAAACCAGUGGAGUCACGCUUGCAUAUGCAUUCAAUCAAAGGCCGAGAUGUGCAUUUGAUUAAAAUUGUCAUGAUUUUAAACGGAUAUAAGAAUCUACAGUAUAACACAGGAAUUCAAACUCACCAAUAAUAGCCUUUCAUCUGUAUCCUCAGAUUAGUAUGCAAAGUAUAUCGGGAUACAUAAAAAUAGCAGUCGUAUUAUCAUGCCUGACCAGCAAUACAAUACACAUGUGUGUAUAUCUGCUUUCAAAUGUAAAUGUAUGCGUGACUUUGUAUGAGACUGAGAGAGACCUGUUAUGUAUUUUCAGCUUUUAUGCAUGUGUAUGCAAUUAUAGAUAUACAAUGCAUGGUACGUGUUUGAUGGAAUGCCUAAUAGUUUGAGAAUUAUGUGAACUCUGAAUUGUUAAGAACUUGAAUUCAUGUCUUUUAAAUGUGUGUAUUAGUCCCUGUUUUUGUUUAGUAAGUGCAUGCUUAAUGUCAUCCUUAUAUGUUUACAUGGUGAACUAAUGUUGCAUACCUAGCGUUUUAGGAAUUUUAUUUCGGUAGUGAAUCGAUUCAAUUUUGUUCAAGGCAACACUCUAAAGUUGUAGUUUCAAUUCUUUUGUUGUUUUGCAGUAUGAACCAUGAGGUAAAGCGAUGAUAUACUCAGUGUUCAAUAUUUUGGAGUCAUUGCAUUCACAAUACAAAUAUAUUUACGCCGUACAGAAUUCCAGAAUAAUCACAUGAAGGUCAGAAGACAGUAUCUUUUUCUGUAUUGUUUUCUUGUUUACAUAUUUUUGAUUCUUUUACCAAGUGAAGUUUUUUAAAAAGAAGCUUGUUGUUUGGUGAAAUUAUUAGUUAUUAGAUUCAACUUGGGAGACAGAGUUCAUACUUAAAGCAAUAUCAAGUUAUUAAUCCGUGUAACUCUAUUUAUAGUACUUUCUAUCACUUAUUAGAUUUGCUGGGCACUAGCAUAACUAUUUAAGAUUAAAUUUUUGUAAAUUUUGUUCCUAUGGAGUUGAAAUGACACUAUGCAUCAAUCUCGAAGUUGAAGUUAGCAGCGGCUCUUGCCCGCAUUGCAUGAUGCAUGUGUAUGAUCUAUCUAAAUUUUAGAUUUUAAAAAACAAAAGUUCCAUAUUUACAUUGUAAUUAAUAGAUAAGAAAAUUUAUAUAGGACAUCGAAACUAUUUGUAUAAAGCAAGCCUUAAGUAUAGAAAAAUAAUUAAAUAAACAAGUCUAUCAUAUACAGAAAAGAAAAUAAUCAUGCAAGUCAAGGAACAAGAAAAUUUAUUUAAAUAAAAUAAUUCUUUUAUUUAUAGAAAGAAAAUUGUUAGAUAUGUCAAGGGAUGAUAAAACUUAUACGAAAUAAUUUGUACAAGGAAAAUCUUACGUUGAAAAUUAAUUAAUAUAAGCAGUCUAUUAUUUGUAAAAAAAAUGAUUAUAUGAGUAAAAGAAAAGAAGUAAUUACAAAAUAAAGCCUUGUUCAAUAUCUACAAAUAAAUAAAAAUCAGGAAGGCUUUCUAAGAACGUUUCAUGAAUCUUGUUAAAUAAGUAAUAUAUGACUGUCAACAAGGCACAAAGACAUUUACACUAUUGUCGAGGUAGAAGAGUGGUUAUGGUAAAUUGGUUUGAUGAUGACAGAUUCGGGCUGCUUAAUGAAUAGUCUGCUUCAAGCAAAUAUCUCUCCAUGAAAAACCCAGGUUGUUUAGGAUGAGGGAGUUUCAUGUUACUACUCAACAUUAAAACCACCUGGGACAUAACUGGCCUGUCCUUUGGAUCAUUCUGAACGCACAAUAAUCCGAUUUGGAUAACUCGGAAAACUUCAAUAUGGUUACUUGAAUCCAAGAUUACCCCAUCGAUUAGUUGUAAAAGUUUGUCUCCUUUGUAACUUAGCCAUGCCUAAAUAUUUAAUUACAAAAAUAUCAGUAGUAGACUAUUGGAUAAGCAUUAUAGUAUAAAAAAGUGUCAUGAUAAUUUGUACUUACAUGUCCUAAAAGGUUUAAGCUGUGGUCAGGAUGAGUGAAUAAUCUGUUUUUCACUCCGCAAACUAUCUCUAUCAGUAAAACACCAAAACUGUAUAUGUCAGAUUUAACAGAGAAUUGUCCGUCAAUAGCAUAUUCGGGGGACAUGUAGCCACUGCAGGAAAUAUAUAAGUAUGAGAUAUCAAUUGACAGUUGUGAUGCAGAUAUAACACUUAUCUGCCGAGUCGUAGAAAUUCUUACUAUGUGCCGACAACUCUAGAUGUAUUUGCUUCAGUUUCAUUUCCUCCAAAAAUUCUUGCCAUGCCAAAAUCUGAAAUUUUUGGAUUCAUCUCAUGAUCAAGUAGAAUGUUACUUGCUUUGAGAUCUCUAUGUAUGAUUCUUAGCUUUGAAUCUUGAUGAAGAUAAAGGAGGCCCCUAGCAAUGCCGCUUAUUAUGCUGUAACGUUUCGGCCAGUCCAUUGUGUUUUUUACCUUUUCAUCUGUUCGUUUUUCAUUAAAUUAGUCCACAGUUGUCAUACAAAAAAAUAUUCGAAAUUUGAAUUUAAAUACAAUGUGAAAUGUUUAGAUCAGGCCUUACCAAAAAUGAUUAGAUCAAGACUUUUGUUAGCCAUGUACUCGUAGAUCAAUAUUCUUUCUCCUUUCUCUAUGCAGCAACCAAGAAGCGUUACAAGAUUUCUGUGCUGAAGUUUGGCGAUACAUGAAACUUCAUUUUUAAACUCAUCUAGUCCUUGACUUGAAUUUUUUGAAAGCCUUUUCACAGCCAAUUCUCUCCCAUCAUCCAAUAUGCCCUGAAAAUUAUCGUUGUUAUGUUUCAAUUUUCAUAGUGUUAUGCUUUUAGUUCAUUGCUGUAGUGACAAAAUAGUUGCAAAUGAUCUGUUGGGAACAAUAUGGUAAAGAACUAAAUACAACGUUAUAUUGAGUUAUUGCAUGAAUUUUUCAAAUCUGCAGAUGUUUUAUAUUACUGUGAGUCAUGGUUAUGUAAUGCAUAUCUGGCGUAUCAGUAUUAUCACCUUGUAGACAGGUCCAAAGCCACCUUCUCCAAGUUUUUUGUCACGACAGAAGUUACUUGUUGCAUUUGCAAUUCUUUUGAAGUCAAAUAAUGGCAAGUCAAAAUCUUCGCUCUCCAUUUUGGUUAAGGCAACACUUUCGGUUUCGGAAAUUGAUUUCAAUUUUUCUGCAAUGCGUGAAGUGGAACAGAUGCACAAAGUGAAGUAAUCAAAUGGUUGCAUAAAUUUCCAAAGUAACGAAUUAAAUAUCUGUAUCAGUUAACCGUAUGAAAUAAUGUUUACUUAUUCCAUAUACCUUCUUUAAUGAGCUUCCUCUUCGUGAAUAUUAGGAGGAAUAUUACUCCCAGCAGGGUUACUACUAGUGCUGCAGGAAUGACAAUGAACUGUAUUUGCCUCUUAGAUCCAGAUCUCCAGCUUUCUCCUGCGUUGGCCAAAAAUUCAAAUCUGAAAAUAGUCCUCGUCAGAAGGAGCUUUCUCCUGAGGUAGUUUUUUUUUUUUGCUAUAUAUUCGGGUAAAAAUUUUGUCAUUCAAAGUUUAUGAAAUGCGAAGACACUCUUAAAUAAAUAUAACAAAGUAGUUGUACCCAUUUCAGAAGCUGACAUUUUUACAUAAAUAUCUUGUCCAUCUUCUUUGUAGUCUCCAAUAUCAAUGAGGUCACUGAACCACAGUAGACAUCCUUGUCCACCUCUUGUUACAUAUGCAUUUGCAUAAGCUGUACAAGAACAAUUUUUCAAGCAUAAAUUCUCACAUUCCUUAAGAUUAAUUUUCAAGUCAUACCGUAUGUGGCGUGUGUCUGGCAAUUUUACACCCGAAUACUUAACAAAACCCUCUUUUGUCCCACAGACCAGCCUAGUCUUCCGGACACACCCAUCAGACCAAUCUGCUGCUUUCCACUUCUCUGGGAAUUUUGGAACAAAUCCUCUCAAGCAUCCACAUCUUGGUGAGUUUUUAAUGUCACAUAUUCCAUAAGCACCACACGAUCCAUAACGACCACAGUCAGUGUUCUGCAGGCUAAGGUAAAUACUCCACUGUUGUAGUUGAUCAUUCCACACCAGAAGUUGUGUAACUCCAGCCGUGGUCAUUAUAUACCUCAUAACGGC